GACAGAGGGUGCAAACGUUGCUCGGAAUUACUGGGCGUAAAGCGCACGUAGUCGGCUUUGCAAGUCGGGUGUGAAAUCCCCGGGCUCAACCUGGGAACUGCAUCCGAGACUGCAUUGCUAGAGUAUGGGAGAGGGAAGCGGAAUUUCUGGUGUAGCAGUGAAAUGCGUAGAUAUCAGAAGGAACAUCAGUGGCGAAGGCGGCUUCCUGGACCAAUACUGACGAUCAGGUGCGAAAGCGUGGGGAGCGAACAGG
rnacentral:rRNA from 1 species